rnacentral:tRNA from 2 species
GCGGAAGUGGCGGAAUUGGCAGACGCGCUAGCUUGAGGGGCUAGUGCCUGCAAAGGCGUGCGGGUUCAAGUCCCGCCUUCCGCACCA